rnacentral:misc_RNA from 1 species
AUUCGGAGUACCAAAAUGAAGUGGAAAAUCAGCCGUGUAAUUUGACCCAAGGGUAUUUCUCUCCCCAGUUGCGGCCACAAACGUUACCCGGUGUAUACCGAAUCAGUAUUCCGAAUUAGAAUUCACCCUGAGUGACGGGAUUAAAGUUUCGAAGGGUUUCAAUAUACGGUCGAGGGUUGUGCUAAAUCUCACAGUACUACACGAGCCCCCAGCCUGCUGAAGAGGAUUUUCAAGGAACGCGUCUUCAAAAUCGCAGAAUGAACGAGCCACCCUUAAAAUUCGAUGACUCGGGGAUUUGUGACCGAUGUGUCGAACGACCUUCGCUACAAGUUGAGCUGAAGCUUCUCGAAGAUCGUAAGCCCGUCCCAAGGUUUCGCAAACCGUAUCGACGAAGAGCGUCGUACUGCUUUUCAUUCUGUGAGGAAUAAGAGUUGUGACACGCGUUCCGGGUUCAAGGACGGCGGGGGCAACGACGUUGUCGUUGAUUUCCACCCUCUUGUGCGAAGGAGAUGAGAAACAGAAAUGUUCUUGAACGCCAAACGAAGAGAAAAGAAAACAGGUGCUGAGAAAGUUGGCUUCAAAAAAAGGUGUUAGUUUUAUAUCUACAGAUACGUUCUCAUCCCCAUUGACACACGUGCCACGUGAGUCGAGACUCCGAGAUUCCUGAUUAUGCAUACUCUCAGGAUUACUCAUGAAAAAGUUUGCUUCGCCCAAAGUGAUGAAAAAAAUAGUCGAAACGAAACCCAAAACCCUGAAACGAAGAG